CCUACGUGAGGCAGCAGUGAGGAAUAUUGGUCAAUGGACGAGAGUCUGAACCAGCCAAGUAGCGUGAAGGAUGACUGCCCUAUGGGUUGUAAACUUCUUUUAUAAAGGAAUAAAACGAGGCACGUGUGCCUUUUUGCAUGUACUUUAUGAAUAAGGAUCGGCUAACUCCGUGCCAGCAGCCGCGGUAAUACGGGGGAUGCGAGCGUUAUCCGGAUUUAUUGGGUUUAAGGGGUGCGCGGGGGGCGUGUCAGGCAAGCGGGAAAAUAGCGGGGUUCAACCCAGUCGAGCCGUUUAAACUGGCAGGCUUGAGUGCAGGUGAGGUAGGCGGAAUUCGUGGUGUAGCGGUGAAAUGCAUAGAUAUCACGAAGAACUCCGAUUGCGAAGGCAGCUUACCAGUCUGCGACUGACGCUGAGGCACGAAAGUGUGGGUAUCGAACAGGAUUAGAUACCCGAGUAGUC
rnacentral:rRNA from 1 species